CGAUGGGGUAGAGGUGCAGGGUUCAAGAGUAAGCUGUUUGAGGAUGACAACUGAGACAACAGAUGAAAGGGAACCUUUGCCGAAGCAGAUAUGUUCGUCAAAAGCAUAUAUGCUGGGGUUAUCUUGAAGAAGGGUAACACUGUCAUUAUGGGGGACACUCUAUAAUGGGGAGCUACAGAUCGU
rnacentral:ncRNA from 2 species